rnacentral:rRNA from 1 species
ACGGGAGGCAGCAGUGGGGAAUAUUGCACAAUGGGCGAAAGCCUGAUGCAGCGACGCCGCGUGAAUGAAGAAGUAUUUCGGUAUGUAAAGUUCUAUCAGCAGGGAAGAUAAUGACGGUACCUGACUAAGAAGCACCGGCUAAAUACGUGCCAGCAGCCGCGGUAAUACGUAUGGUGCAAGCGUUAUCCGGAUUUACUGGGUGUAAAGGGCGUGUAGGCGGCUCUGCAAGUCAGAAGUGAAAUCCCCGAGCUUAACUUGGGUGCUGCUUCUGAAACUGUAGAACUUGAGUACUGGAGGGGAGAGCGGAAUUCCUAGUGUAGCGGUAAAAUGCGCAGAUAUUAGGAGGAACACCGGUGGCGAAGGCGGCUUUCUGGACAGUUACUGACGCUGAGGCGCGAAAGCGUGGGGAGCAAACAGGAUUAGAUACCCUGGUA